ensembl:lncRNA
GGGAGAAAUGACUUCACAGUAGAGGCUUCCUCUGUGUCUGUGACCACAGUGUCAGUCAGAAUAUAGAGUUCUGGAUGGGACCAACAUCAUUGUCAUGGAAACCCCAGGAGUAAUCAGUGAAAUGCCUGGAUCUCUCUCAUCCUCGUGUUCUACUGCUGGGGAGGUUCACUGACGAGGAGAAGGAACACUGUGAAGUCAAUCCAGGAGAGUUUUGGAUCACAAAGUUCACCAGAGUGCUAUUAAAGACCUGUUGAAGGGUAAACCUAUAAUGGCCUGUCUGAAGAGCAGUCCAAACCUUCAGGUGCUCAAUGCUAACUGGUGGUGGAUCCAAUGUCUUCAACAUUGAAGUCGAAGGCAACAUUGGAGAAGUUAAAUGACUGCUUGACAAUAUUGAUACAGUAUCAUACCAGAACUGGGGAUACCACUUCAUGGAAGAGGCAGAAAGAUGAGAGCUGAAGAGCAACGGAGGAGAGAAGAGGCAGAAAGAUGAGAGCUGAAGAGCAACGGAGGAGAGAAGAGGCAGAAAGAUCAGAGCUGAAGAGCAACGGAGGAGAGAAGAGGGAGAAGGAUGAGAGCUGAAGAGCAACGGAGGAGAGAAGAGGCAGAGAGAGGUGAAGUUUUGUACACCAGCUUCAAACAGCUGAAAAUACUAUACUGGUUAUGGAAAAGCUACUUCACAGCGGUUUAGGAUGAUGACCAGCACUGUCUUUAAAGGAGAGGACCAGACAUUCCCCACAUGGUUCCAUCCUAGAGCUACAAGACCCUAGAAUGAUGACCAGCUCUGUCUUUAAAGGAGAGGACCAGACAUUCCCCACAGGGUUCCAUCCUAGAGCUACAAGACCCUAGAAUGAUGACCAGCUCUGUCUUUAAAGGAGAGGACCAGACAUUCCCCACAGGGUUCCAUCCUAGAGCUACAAGACCCUAGAAUGAUGACCAGCUCUGUCUUUAAAGGAGAGGACAAGACAUCCCCCACC